UGGGGAAUAUUGGACAAUGGGCGCAAGCCUGAUCCAGCCAUGCCGCGUGAGUGAUGAAGGCCUUAGGGUUGUAAAGCUCUUUUGUCAGGGAAGAUAAUGACGGUACCUGAAGAAUAAGCACCGGCUAACUUCGUGCCAGCAGCCGCGGUAAUACGAAGGGUGCUAGCGUUGUUCGGAAUCACUGGGCGUAAAGCGCGCGUAGGCGGCGAACCAAGUCAGAGGUGAAAGCCCAGGGCUUAACCCUGGAAUUGCCUUUGAAACUGGUUUGCUAGAGUGUCGGAGGGGAUAGCGGAAUUGCUAAUGUAGAGGUGAAAUUCGUAGAUAUUAGCAGGAACACCGGUGGCGAAGGCGGCUAUCUGGACGACAACUGACGCUGAGGCGCGAAAGCGUGGGGAUCAAA
rnacentral:rRNA from 1 species